UGUACCGAGCUCAGCAGAUCAUCCAGCUCAACAUCCAAGCUUCCCCUAAAGUACGACUGAGCUUGGCAAACGAAGCUCUGCUGCCCACCCUCAUCUGCGACAUUGCUGGCUAUUACCCUCUGGAUGUGGUGGUGACGUGGACCCGAGAGGAGCUGGGUGGAUCCCCAGCCCAAGUCUCUGGUGCCUCCUUCUCCAGCCUCAGGCAAAGCGUGGCAGGCACCUACAGCAUCUCCUCCUCUCUCACCGCAGAACCUGGCUCUGCAGGUGCCACUUACACCUGCCAGGUCACACACAUCUCUCUGGAGGAGCCCCUUGGGGCCAGCACCCAGGUUGUCCCACCAGAGCGGAGAACAGCCUUGGGAGUCAUCUUUGCCAGCAGUCUCUUCCUUCUUGCACUGAUGUUCCUGGGGCUUCAGAGACGGCAAGAGUAGAAAGAAAGAGUAGUCACGUGCUCCCAGAAGGACUCUAAGUCAAGUCACAGAGCUAAAAAUACAUGAAGGUGGCACCAGCUCAUGGGGCACUGGGCCUGGCUCUGCAGAGGCCUCUGCCUUCCUUCACUGUGCACCCUGGGCUCAUGCACCAAGGCAGAGAACAGGAAGAAGUGAGGGGACAAGAAGAAGGCAGAAUGUCCAGAUGGAGGAUAAGACCAAAGAGCCAGCACCUACAGGACUUGGGCUGCUUCAGGCUGAACGCUGGGAGACCACUUCCUGUGCUGACACACAGAGCUCCCAUCUCCAUGAAGACCGCACAGCGCGUGUAAGCCAGCCCAGCUGACCUAAAGCGACAUGAGACUACUAGAAAGAAACGACACCCUUCCCCAAGCCCCCACAGCUACUCCAACCCAAACAACAACCAAGCCAGUUUAAUGGUAGGAAUUUGUAUUUUUUGCCUUUGUUCAGAAUACAUGACAUUGGUAAAUAUGC
rnacentral:lncRNA from 1 species